rnacentral:rRNA from 1 species
UAUUGCACAAUGGGGGAAACCCUGAUGCAGCAACGCCGCGUGAGUGAAGAAGUAUUUCGGUAUGUAAAGCUCUAUCAGCAGGGAAGAAGAAAGACGGUACCUGACUAAUAAGCCCCGGCUAACUACGUGCCAGCAGCCGCGGUAAUACGUAGGGGGCAAGCGUUAUCCGGAUUUACUGGGUGUAAAGGGAGCGUAGACGGCAUAGCAAGUCUGAAGUGAAAGCCCGCGGCUUAACCGCGGGACUGCUUUGGAAACUUUUUUGCUGGAGUACCGGAGAGGUAAGCGGAAUUCCUAGUGUAGCGGUGAAAUGCGUAGAUAUUAGGAGGAACACCAGUGGCGAAGGCGGCUUACUGGACGGUAACUGACGUUGAGGCUCGAAAGCGUGGGGAGCAAACAGG